UUGUGUGCGAUUAUGACUCUUCUCAGGUGGAUGUGACUCUUUUCAGGGCCUGGUCUCCAGUGAUUGUGAUGCUGGUUCUCAGCAACCACUUACUAUUAGCUCAUGACUGACACACCGCUGACACCAGCAUUUCUGUCACUAUUUUAUGCUGCCCUCAGUGAGGUCAG